rnacentral:rRNA from 1 species
GUGGGGAAUAUUGGACAAUGGGCGCAAGCCUGAUCCAGCAAUGCCGCGUGGGUGAAGAAGGUCUUCGGAUCGUAAAGCCCUUUCGACAGGGACGAUGAUGACGGUACCUGUAGAAGAAGCCCCGGCUAACUUCGUGCCAGCAGCCGCGGUAAUACGAAGGGGGCUAGCGUUACUCGGAAUUACUGGGCGUAAAGGGCACGUAGGCGGCUCUGUUAGUCAGGCGUGAAAUUCCUGGGCUUAACCUGGGGACGGCGCUUGAUACUGCAGGGCUUGAGGCCGAGAGAGGGUGGUGGAAUUCCCAGUGUAGAGGUGAAAUUCGUAGAUAUUGGGAAGAACACCGGUGGCGAAGGCGACCACCUGGCUCGGUUCUGACGCUGAGGCGCGACAGCGUGGGGAGCAAACAGGAUUAGAUACCCCGGUAGUCC